GACGGAGGGUGCAAGCGUUGUUCGGAAUUACUGGGCGUAAAGGGCGCGUAGGCGGUCUGUUAAGUUCGGUGUGAAAGCCCCCGGCUCACCUGGGGAACUGCGCCGGAAACCGACAGACUCGAGUACCGGAGAGGAGGGUGGAAUUCCCAGUGUAGUGGUGAAAUACGUAGAGAUUGGGAAGAACACCAGUGGCGAAGGCGGCUAUCUGGACGGUUUCUGACGCUAAGACGCGAAAGCGUGGGGAGCAAACAGG
rnacentral:rRNA from 1 species